rnacentral:rRNA from 1 species
UGGGCUUGACAUAUACAAGAUCGCGCCAGAGAUGGUGUUUCCCUUGUGGCUUGUAUACAGGUGGUGCAUGGUUGUCGUCAGCUCGUGUCGUGAGAUGUUGGGUUAAGUCCCGCAACGAGCGCAACCCUUGUCUUAUGUUGCCAGCACGUGAUGGUGGGGACUCGUAAGAAACUGCCGGGGUUAACUCGGAGGAAGGUGGGGAUGACGUCAAAUCAUCAUGCCCCUUAUGUCCAGGGCUUCACACAUGCUACAAUGGUCGGUACAGUGGGUUGCCAGUCCGUGAGGGCGAGCUAAUCCCGCAAAGCCGGUCUCAGUUCGGAUCGGGGUCUGCAACUCGACCCCGUGAAGUCGGAGUCGCUAGUAAUCGCAGAUCAGCAACGCUGCGGUGAAUACGUUCCCGGGCC